rnacentral:rRNA from 1 species
AUACGUAGGUGGCAAGCGUUGUCCGGAUUUACUGGGCGUAAAGGAUGAGUAGGCGGAUGUUUAAGUGAGAUGUGAAAUACCCGAGCUCAACUUGGGUGCUGCAUUUCAAACUGGAUAUCUAUAGUGCAGGAGAGGAAAGCGGAAUUCCUAGUGUAGCGGUGAAAUGCGUAGAGAUUAGGAAUAACACCAGUGGCGAAGGCGGCUUUCUGGACUGUAACUGACGCUGAGGCAUGAAAGCGUGGGGAGCAAACAGGAUUAGAUCCCCGGGUAGUCCACGCCGUAAACGAUGAAUACUAGGUGUAGGAGGUAUCGACUCCUUCUGUGCCGCAGUUAACACAAUAAGUAUUCCGCCUGGGGAGUACGAUCGCAAGAUUAAAACUCAAAGGAAUUGACGGGG